AUUGAACGCUGGCGGCAGGCCUAAUACAUGCAAGUCGAGCGGAGCGGCGGACGGGUGAGUAAUGCCUAGGUAUCUGCCUGGUAGUGGGGGAUAACGUUCGGAAACGGGCGCUAAUACCGCAACCUAUCAGAUGAGCCUAGGCCGUAUUAGCUAGAUGGUGGGGCAAAGGCCUACCAAGGCGACGAUCCGUAGCCGGUCUGUGUGGAUGAUCAGUCACACUGGAACUGAGACACGGUCCAGACUCCUACGGGAGGCAGCAGUAGGGAAUAUUGAACAAUGGGCGCAAGCCUGAUCCAGCCAUGCCGCGUGUGUGAAGAAGGUCUUCGGAUUGUAAAGCGCUUUAAGUUGGGAGGCGUUACCAGCAGAAUAAGCACCGGCUAACUUCGUGCCAGCAGCCGCGGUAAUAC
rnacentral:rRNA from 1 species